CAAUCAACAAAGAACUAUAAUACCAACUUCAAUAUCUCCACCUACCUUCACAUCUGCAGAAGACAUAUUUAACCGAGAAAGUGAAGGUACUUAGUUAAGAUUCUCGUGGAAAAUGGCACGGAUAAUGCAAGAGUAACACUCUUUGACGCAGCAGAAACUCUUAUUGGAUGCAAAGCAGAAACAUUCAUUACAGAAAAGAAAGAG